UCUAUCAGAAAAAAGAAAACCAUAUUGAUUCUAUAUCAACAAAAAUAAGCUUAGAUUCUUACUCAAUCCAAACAAGAUGAUGACCAGAAAGGUUCACAGGUACCAUAUCACAUAAUCCAGCAUAAGCCAUAUUUUCCUCAUAACAUAAAAAUUAAUAACCAAAUCCAGGUCAACCUCUAGAUACUGGUAAGAAAAUAAAUCUUCAAAAACCGGAAGUGCAUGUGUCUCGUUAACGACUCUACUGGAUACGAAACAAAGCCAUCUUCUCACAGGUCUUGCACGCUCAAACCUGCACAAGUGAACAAAAAGAAAUCAGCUGCAAUGCCCUUUUGUAUAUCAAACAUGGAAACUAUGACUGUUAAAAAAUGAUUUAACAUCUGAGAUGAACAAAAUUUUAUGUUGCUGUGGCAGCUAACCUGGAGGAAGAGAUUGCUUCAACUUGUCGGCCUUCUCGGAGUCAAAGACGCAAAGAGUGUAGAGGUACUUGGAGCAGCGAACCUUGAACUUCACCACAUCCUUGCUCCUCUUGAUCUUCACAGAGCGUGCAUCCUUCCUCCUAGCAGUGAGGAGGAAAUCCUUGAUCUCGUGGAUUUGCUUCGGCUGUGUACCACAACAAGGAGUUCCAAUCAACACGAAAUCCCU
rnacentral:lncRNA from 1 species